ACCACACCCAGCUAAUUUUUGUAUUUUUAGUAGAGAUGGGGUUUCACCGUGUUGGCCAGGCUGGUCUCAAACUCCUGGCUUCAAGUGACCCACCUGCCUUGGCCUCCCAAAGUGCUGGGAUUACAGGCGUGAGCCACCGCACCCAGCCCCAUUGUCUUUUUUUUUAGAGACUGGUUCUCACUCUGUCACCUAGGCUGGAGUGCCGUGGUGUGAUCAAGGCUCACUGCAGCCUCAACCUCUUGGGCUCAAGCAGUCCUCCCACUUUAGCGUCCCAUGUUGCUGGGACCACAGGUGCAUGCCACCAAGCCCCACUAAUUAAAACAAAUUUUCUUUAUAGAGAAUAGGAUGUAGCUAUGUUGCCCAGGCUGGUCUUGAAUUCCUGGGCUCAAGUGAUCCUCCCACCUUGGCCUCCCAAAGUGCUGGGAUUACAGGUAUGAGCCACUGCACCUGGUCUCUGUCUUCUUUUUUUUAAGGCUCUUGUUAGAAUGCCGUGAACAGUUGUCUCCAACUAUUAUAUGUCAUUCCACAGGAUUGGUUUCCUGCUGGGAUUCCAUGGUCUCUGGGGUCCUCUGCAGCACCUUCCUGGCCUUUUGUCAUGUGGAUGCUGCACAGCUGACUUCACCUGGUCUUGUUGAUGGACAGUUUGUUUCAUGAUUUCUCUUAUGAAUAAAACCUUCACAAGCCAUCCUUCUCUAUGAGAGUGUUUGCUUGGCACGCAUUCCUGAGCACUGCCCCUGAGCAGACCGCCUAUGAUCUCUAAGCUUAGGUUCCGUGUUGCCAAAGCGCCUUCUGGUGGACUCAGCCCAGGAGGAGCCCAUGUGCCCCACGCUGGCCAUGGCUGUGGUCAUGGGCUGACUGCAUGUGUCUGACUGGGCCUUUGUCUGAGACUGCAGUGAUUUCGCUCCUCCUCUCAGAUCCGCAAGGAUGCUCUCCGGGCGCUCAACUUCGCGUACACGGUGAGCACACAGCGAUCUACCGUCUUUCCCCUGGAUGGUGUGGUGCGCAUGCUGCUGUUCAGAGACUGUGAAGAGGCCACCGACUUCCUCACCUGCCACGGCCUCACCGUUUCCGACGGCUGUGUGGAGCUGAACCGGUCUGCAUUCCUGGAACCAGAGGGAUUAUCCAAGACCAGGAAGUCGGUGUUUAUUACCAGGAAGCUGACGGUGUCAGUCGGGGAAAUUGUGAACGGAGGGCCAUUGCCCCCCGUCCCUCGUCACACCCCUGUGUGCAGCUUCAACUCCCAGAACAAGUACAUUGGGGAGAGCCUGGCCGCGGAGCUGCCCGUCAUCAGCACCCAGAGACCCGGCUCCGACACAGUGGGCGGAGGGAGAGGAGAGGAGUGUGGUGUAGAGCCGGAUGCACCCCUGCCCAGUCUCCCACAGUCUCUACCAGCCCCUGCGCCCUCACCAGUGCCUCUGCCUCCUGUCCUGGCACUGACCCCGUCUGUGGCGCCCAGCCUCUUCCAGCUGUCUGUGCAGCCUGAACCACCGCCUCCAGAGCCCGUGCCCAUGUACUCUGACGAGGACCUGGCGCAGGUGGUGGACGAGCUCAUCCAGGAGGCCCUGCAGAGGGACUGUGAGGAAGUUGGCUCUGCGGGUGCUGCCUACGCAGCUGCCGCCCUGGGUGUUUCUAAUGCUGCUAUGGAGGAUUUGUUAACAGCUGCAACCACGGGCAUUUUGAGGCACAUUGCAGCUGAAGAAGUGUCUAAGGAAAGAGAGCGAAGGGAGCAGGAGAGGCAGCGGGCUGAAGAGGAAAGGUUGAAACAAGAGAGAGAGCUGGUGUUAAGUGAGCUGAGCCAGGGCCUGGCUGUGGAGCUGAUGGAACGCGUGAUGAUGGAGUUUGUGAGAGAAACCUGCUCCCAGGAGUUGAAGAAUGCAGUAGAGACAGACCAGAGGGUCCGUGUGGCCCGUUGCUGUGAGGAUGUCUGUGCCCACUUAGUGGACUUGUUUCUCGUGGAGGAAAUCUUCCAGACUGCAAAGGAGACCCUCCAGGAGCUUCAGUGCUUCUGCAAGUAUCUACAGCGGUGGAGGGAAGCUGUCACAGCCCGCAAGAAACUGAGGCGCCAAAUGCGGGCUUUCCCUGCUGCGCCCUGCUGCGUGGACGUGAGCGACCGGCUGAGGGCGCUGGCGCCCAGCGCAGAGUGCCCCAUUGCUGAAGAGAACCUGGCCAGGGGCCUCCUGGACCUGGGCCAUGCAGGGAGAUUGGGCAUCUCCUGCACCAGGUUAAGGCGGCUCAGAAACAAGACGGCUCACCAGAUGAAGGUUCAGCACUUCUACCAGCAGCUGCUGAGUGAUGUGGCAUGGGCAUCUCUGGACCUGCCAUCCCUCGUGGCUGAGCACCUCCCUGGGAGGCAGGAGCAUGUGUUUUGGAAGCUGGUGCUGGUGUUGCCGGAUGGAGAGGAGCAGUCCCCAGAGAGUUGUGGCAGAAUUCUAGCAAAUUGGUUAAAAGUCAAGUUCAUGGGAGAUGAAGGCUCAGUGGAUGACACAUCCAGCGAUGCUGGUGGGAUUCAGACGCUUUCGCUUUUCAACUCACUUAGCAGCAAAGGGGAUCAGAUGAUUUCUGUUAACGUGUGUAUAAAGGUGGCCCAUGGCGCCCUCAGUGAUGGUGCCAUUGAUGCUGUGGAGACACAGAAGGACCUCCUGGGAGCCAGUGGACUCAUGCUGCUGCUUCCCCCCAAAAUGAAGAGUGAGGAUGUGGCAGAGGAGGACGUGUACUGGCUGUCGGCCUUGCUGCAGCUCAAGCAGCUCCUGCAGGCUAAGCCCUUCCAGCCUGCGCUUCCUCUGGUGGUUCUUGUGCCUAGCCCAGGAGGGGACGCCGUUGAGAAGGAAGUAGAAGAUGGUUUGUGAAGGAAGUCUCGUUUAUGAAGCAGCAUUGUUUAAUAAUAAAUGGGUGGAGGCCCUGGGUCUGAGGAUGGUCCAGUAGUGUUGGGGUCAGGAAUCACUGAGACAGCAACCCCUGUGGUGACUGUCCACUGCAGGACUGGGUGGGGUCAGCACAGUGAGAUGUGUUAGCAGGUGUGCUGACAGCAGAAUGCAAGUGACCUUCAUCUAUGUCUCUCUUAAAGGUCUGAUGCUACAGGACUUGGUUUCAGCUAAGCUGAUUUCAGAUUACACUGUUACCGAGAUCCCUGAUACCAUUAAUGAUCUACAAGGUUCAACUAAGGUCUUGCAAGCAGUGCAGUGGCUGGUUUCCCACUGCCCCCAUUCCCUUGACCUCUGCUGCCAGACUCUCAUUCAGUACGUCGAAGACGGGAUUGGCCAUGAGUUUAGUGGCCGCUUUUUCCAUGACAGAAGAGAGAGGCGUCUGGGCGGUCUUGCUUCUCAGGAGCCUGGUGCCAUCAUUGAGCUGUUUAACAGUGUGCUGCAGUUCCUGGCUUCUGUGGUGUCCUCUGAACAGCUGUGUGACCUGUCCUGGCCUGUCACUGAGUUUGCUGAGGCAGGGGGCAGCCGGCUGCUUCCUCACCUGCACUGGAAUGCACCAGAGCACCUGGCCUGGCUGAAGCAGGCUGUGCUCGGGUUCCAGCUUCCGCAAAUGGACCUUCCACCCCUGGGGGCCCCCUGGCUCCCCGUGUGCUCCAUGGUUGUCCAGUACGCCUCCCAGAUCCCCAGCUCACGCCAGACACAGCCUGUCCUCCAGUCCCAGGUGGAGAACCUGCUCCACAGAACCUACUGUAGGUGGAAGAGCAAGAGCCCCUCCCCAGUCCAUGGGGCAGGCCCCUCCGUCAUGGAGAUCCCAUGGGAUGAUCUCAUCGCCUUGUGUAUCAACCACAAGCUGAGAGACUGGACGCCCCCCCGGCUUCCUGUUACAUCAGAGGCGCUGAGUGAAGAUGGUCAGAUAUGUGUGUAUUUCUUUAAAAACGAUUUGAAAAAAUAUGAUGUUCCUUUGUCGUGGGAACAAGCCAGGUUGCAGACGCAGAAGGAGCUACAGCUGAGAGAGGGACGUUUGGGAAUAAAGCCUUUUCAUCCUUCUGCAAACAAUUUUCCCAUACCAUUGCUUCACAUGCACCGUAACUGGAAGAGGAGCACAGAGUGUGCUCAAGAGGGGAGGAUUCCCAGCACAGAGGAUCUGAUGCGAGGAGCUUCUGCUGAGGAGCUCUUGGCGCAGUGUUUGUCGAGCAGUCUGCUGCUGGAGAAAGAGGAGAACAAGAGGUUUGAAGAUCAGCUUCAGCAAUGGUUGUCUGAAGACUCAGGAGCAUUUACGGAUUUAACUUCCCUUCCCCUCUAUCUUCCUCAGACUCUAGUGUCUCUUUCUCACACUAUUGAACCUGUGAUGAAAACAUCUGUAACUACUAGCCCACAGAGUGACAUCAUGAGGGAGCAACUGCAGCUGUCAGAGGCGACAGGAACGUGUCUAGGCGAACGACUAAAGCACCUGGAAAGGCUGAUCCGGAGUUCAAGGGAAGAGGAAGUUGCCUCUGAGCUCCAUCUCUCUGCGCUGCUAGACAUGGUGGACAUUUGAGCAGCCUGACCUGUGGGGAGGGGGUCUCUCCCGAAGAGUUUCUGUUUUUACUCAAAAUAAUGUUAUUCUCAGAUGCUUGAUGCACUGUUGGAAAUGUGAUUAAUUUAAUCAUGCAGAUAAGCCAUUUAAAUGUCA
rnacentral:sRNA from 1 species